rnacentral:rRNA from 1 species
UACGUAGGGGCUAGCGUUAUCCGGAUUUACUGGGCGUAAAUGGUGCGUAGGUGGUUUCUUAAGUCAGAGGUGAAAGGCUACGGCUCAACCGUAGUAAGCCUUUGAAACUGGGAAACUUGAGUGCAGGAGAGGAGAGUGGAAUUCCUAGUGUAGUGGUGAAAUGCGUAGAUAUUAGGAGGAACACCAGUUGCGAAGGCGGCUCUCUGGACUGUAACUGACACUGAGGCACGAAAGUGUGGGGAGCAAACAGGAUUAGAUACCCUGGUAGUCCCUGA